rnacentral:rRNA from 1 species
AGAACGAACGCUGGCGGCAGGCUUAACACAUGCAAGUCGAACGCUCCGCAAGGAGAGUGGCAGACGGGUGAGUAACGCGUGGGUAUCUACCCAUCUCUACGGAAUAGCUCCGGGAAACUGGAAUUAAUACCGUAUACGUCCUUAGGGAGAAAGAUUUAUCGGAGAUGGAUGAGCCCGCGUUGGAUUAGCUAGUUGGUGGGGUAAAGGCCUACCAAGGCGACGAUCCAUAGCUGGUCUGAGAGGAUGACCAGCCACAUUGGGACUGAGACACGGCCCAAACUCCUACGGGAGGCAGCAGUGGGGAAUAUUGGACAAUUGGCGCAAGCCUGAUCCAGCCAUGCCGCGUGAGUGAUGAAGGCCCUAGGGUUGUAAAGCUCUUUCAGUGGGGACGAUAAUGACGGUACCCACAGAAGAAGCCCCGGCUAACUUCGUGCCAGCAGCCGC